rnacentral:rRNA from 1 species
UACGUAGGGUGCAAGCGUUGUUCGGAAUUACUGGGCGUAAAGGGCGCGUAGGCGGCUCUUUAAGUCCCGUGUGAAAGCCCCCGGCGUCAACCGGGGAACUGCACGGGAAACUGGAAGGCUUGAGUUCGGGAGAGGGAAGCGGAAUUCCGGGUGUAGCGGUGAAAUGCGUAGAUAUCCGGAGGAACACCGGUGGCGAAGGCGGCUUCCUGGACCGACACUGACGCUGAGGCGCGAAAGCUAGGGGAGCAAACGGG